UUUUAGCCCAGAUGGAAAUGGAAACCCCGGACUUAUAUUUGUUUGUUUUUUUUGGAAUAAAAGAGCGACCAACGGAAGCUCCUUUUAUGACUUUAAAAAACAACAAAUAUAAGGAGGAGUUGUAAUGUACAGCUGGAUUGGCU
rnacentral:sRNA from 1 species